rnacentral:rRNA from 1 species
AAUCAACGCUGGCGGCGUGCCUCAGACAUGCAAGUCGAACGAUUAAACUUUCCUUCGGGAAAGAUAUAAAGUGGCGCACGGGUGAGUAACACGUAAGUAAUCUACCCUCGAGUGGGGAAUAACGUUCGGAACGGACGCUAAUACCGCAUAAUGCAGCGGCACCGCAAGGUGACAGUUGUUAAAGAUUUAUCGCUUGAGGAGGAGCUUGCGGCAGAUUAGCUAGUUGGUAAGGUAACGGCUACCAAGGCUACGAUCUGUAACCGGUCUAAGAGGACGGUCGGUCACACUGACACUGAAUAACGGGUCAGACUCCUACGGGAGGCAGCAGUCGGGAAUUUGGUCG